rnacentral:lncRNA from 1 species
UCGAGCAUAUGUGCAUAAACCCGAAUACUGUAGCCGCAGUUUCGUCGGAUUGUGAGAUAUGUGGAACCAAAGGACACCAAUCUGCAGAAUGCAGUCUAUUAAACGAAACCCACUUUGAGUAAGUGAACUACACCCAAGGGAACCCAUACUCGAAUACCUAUAACCCUGGAUGGAGGAAUCACCCAAACUUCUCAUAUAAAAACAAUAACCCUAUCCAAAAUAAUGCACCUCCGAGACAAUCAGGUUAUCAUGCCCCAAGAUCAAAUCAACCUAUGCAACCUAUACCACCAAAGCCGAGCCUUGAGAAAAUUAUGGAAAAUUUUAUCA